GUAGUCUGCAACUCGACUACAUGAAGCUGGAAUCGCUAGUAAUCGCGAAUCAGAAUGUCGCGGUGAAUACGUUCCCGGGUCUUGUACACACCGCCCGUCACACCAUGGGAGUCAGUAACGCCCGAAGUCAGUGACCCAACCUUAUGGAGGGAGCUGCCGAAGGCGGGACCGAUAACUGGGGUGAAGUCGUAACAAGGUAGC
rnacentral:rRNA from 1 species